rnacentral:tRNA from 1 species
UCAGAGAAAAGAAUCUCCCAUCUUUAAUCUCCAAAAUUAAUAUUUUAUAUAAACUAUUCUCUG